CCGCAACUGUUCAAACUGAUAUAAACCAAAUACAGAGUGCCGCAACUGUUCAAACUGAUAUAAACCAAAUAUAGAGUGCCGCAACUGUUGAAACUGAUAUAAACCAAAUAUAGAGUGCCGCAACUGUUCAAACUGAUAUAAACCAAAUAUAGAGUGCCGCAACUGUUGAAACAAGGAUAUAAAUCAAAUAAAAAGUGCCGCACCUCUUCAAACAAAGCAUUUAAUGUCUACGACCCACGUAAAUUAUUGUCCGUCAAAUAACCACCUAUUCAGAGAACAUAAGCAGAAUCUUGAUAAGCAGAAUCUCUUUUUAAGGAACAGCAACGAAGUUGUGUCUUUGCAUUAAUAUUAUAAGGUCUAAAUUCCUGCCACGACCUUCUAAUGGAGUCAUAAUUAGGAAGGGCCCCACGCUCCCCCUUGACUGGGUUUGUUGGGCAGCAGAACACGUACGUAUUACAGUAUACAUGCGGUAUUGCUUUAAACUUUAAAGCCAUUUAGAUUCUUUGAGACAAUAAUCUGCUGGAUCAUAUAAUGGGACAUACGCAAGUCUUUGUCCUAAGAAUUUUUUUUUUUCAACCAGUCUCAAAUGAUACUAACUAACUUCUGAUCAAAGUCACGAUAAAGAAA